rnacentral:rRNA from 1 species
CCUACGGGGGCAGCAGUGGGGAAUAUUGGACAAUGGGCGAAAGCCUGAUCCAGCCAUGCCGCGUGUGUGAAGAAGGCCUUCGGGUUGUAAAGCACUUUCAGUGGGGAAGAAAGCCUUGGGGCUAAUACCCUCGAGGAAGGACAUCACCCACAGAAGAAGCACCGGCUAACUCCGUUCCAGCAGCCGCGGUAAUACGGAGGGUGCGAGCGUUAAUCGGAAUUACUGGGCGUAAAGCGCGCGUAGGCGGUCUGAUAAGCCGGUUGUGAAAGCCCCGGGCUCAACCUGGGAACGGCAUCCGGAACUGUCAGGCUAGAGUGCAGGAGAGGAAGGUAGAAUUCCCGGUGUAGCGGUGAAAUGCGUAGAGAUCGGGAGGAAUACCAGUGGCGAAGGCGGCCUUCUGGACUGACACUGACGCUGAGGUGCGAAAGCGUGGGUAGCAAACAGGAUUAGAUACCCUAGUAGUC